UGCCUGAGAGGAGCUGUUGGGUGAGGAAGUGACUCUGCAGCUCCCCUUACCUACAGCCAGCCCAUCCUCCACACAAGGAUAAUGAGGCUGUUCUGCAGCUGCUCAUUACAGACUGUGCCUGCCCUGCUGCCCUGAAGUCCCCCGUCUCCGAAACGUUUGGGUAUCCCAGUCACGUCAGGAAAGAUCAGAAUCAAGAUUAGAAAAUAGGAGUUGAAAUUUGAAAGAAAGACAGUAAUGUCACCUGAAAAUGAAAAAAUGAAAGUAGAAGAAAGAUCUGACAGACCGCAAGCAGAUGACUAGAAAUACAGUAGAUGGCAGGACCACAUCUGUCCACCAUGCCCAGUGUCAAGUCAGCAGAGUCCGGAGGAUAUCUCCGACAUCCAUCAUGCAGCCUGCUGUUUACCAGUGGUGAAAAGAACAUCUGUAGGAGCAUCCCUUGCACUCAAAAAGUACAUCGGUAUAGAAGCAAUUCAGACCUAUUAUCAUAAGACAACCUUCAUGAAAUUUGGAUGGGAAAAGAUACCUUUAUUGCCUUACAUUAGACACUAUGGGAUG